GGGAAACCGGAGCUAAUACCGGAUAAUAUUUUGAACCGCAUAGUUCAAAAGUGAAAGACGGUCUUGCUGUCACUUAUAGAUGGAUCCGCGCUGCAUUAGCUAGUUGGUAAGGUAACGGCUUACCAAGGCAACGAUGCAUAGCCGACCUGAGAGGGUGAUCGGCCACACUGGAACUGAGACACGGUCCAG
rnacentral:rRNA from 1 species